rnacentral:rRNA from 1 species
UACAGAGGUCUCAAGCGUUGUUCGGAUUCAUUGGGCGUAAAGGGUGCGUAGGCGGUCUGUCGCGUCUGCUGUGAAAACUCGGGGCUUAACCCUGAGCUUGCGGUCGAUACGGGCAUGACUGGAGUUCGGCAGGGGAGACUGGAAUUCCUGGUGUAGCGGUGAAAUGCGCAGAUAUCAGGAGGAACACCGGUGGCGAAGGCGGAUUUCUGGACCAGUUCUGACACUGAUGAGCGAAAGCCAGGGGAGCAAACAGG